ensembl:rRNA 5S_rRNA 5S ribosomal RNA
GCUUACGGCCACACCGCCUGGUUCACGCCUGAUCUCGGAAGCUAAGAUAGGUUGGUCCUGGUUAGUACUUGGAUGGGAGACCGCCUGGGAAUACCAGGUGCUGUAAGCU